AACGAACGCUGGCGGCGGUGCUAACACAUGCAAGUCGAAACGCGAAAGGGACUUCGGGUCCUGAGUAAAGUGGCGCACGGGUGAGUAACGCGUAGAUAACCUGUCUUCAUGUCUGGAAUAAUACGCCGAAAGGGGUACUAAUACCGGAUAUUCUUGCUUUUCAUAAGUUAUGCAAGCAAAGGUGGCCUCUGCAUAUGCUACUGCAUGAAGAGGGGUCUGCGUACCAUUAGCUAGUAGGUGGGGUAAUGGCCUACCUAGGCGACGAUGGUUAGCGGGUCUGAGAGGAUGAUCCGCCACACUGGCACUGGAACACGGGCCAGACUCCUACGGGAGGCAGCAGUGAGGAAUAUUGCGCAAUGGGGGAAACCCUGACGCAGCGACGCCGCGUGAGUGAAGGAAGGCCUUCGGGUCGUAAAGCUCUGUCAAGAGGAAAGAAGUGUACAAUGGCUAAUACCUGUUGUAUUUGACGGUACCUCUAAAGGAAGCACCGGCUAACUCCGUGCCAGCCGCAGC
rnacentral:rRNA from 1 species